CAAAAACAUCGCCUCCCGCAAAGACCGAAGUAUAGGAGGUCCUACCUGCCCAGUGACUAUUUGUUUAACGGCCGCGGUAUCUUGACCGUGCUAAGGUAGCGAAAUCACUUGUCCUUUAAAUGAGGACCUGUAUGAAUGGUGGAACGAGGGCUUAACUGUCUCCUUUUUCAAGUCAGUGAAAUUGAUCUGCCCGUGCAGAAGCGGACAUAAACAUACAAGACGAGAAGACCCUUUGGAGCUUAAGACAUACAGUCAACUGUGUCAAAAUUUUAUUAAGAAACUUAAACAAAACAACAACUGACCCUACGUCUUCGGUUGGGGCGACCGCGGGGGAAAACAAAGCCCCCACGUAGAAUGGGACAUUCCCUAAAACUAAGAGAGACAUCUCUAAGUCACAGAACCUCUGACUAAAAGAUCCGGCACACGCCGAUCAACGAACCAAGUUACCCUAGGGAUAACCAGCGCAAUCCCCUCCAAGAGCCCGUAUCAACAAGGGGGUUUACGACCUCGAUGUUGGAUCAGGACAUCCUAAUGGUGCAGCCGCUAUUAAGGGUUCGUUUGGUCAACGAAUUAAAGUCCUACGUGAUCUGAG
rnacentral:rRNA from 1 species